UGAGGAAUAUUGGGCAAUGCCCGCAAGGGUGACCCAGCAACGCCGCGUGGAGGAUGAAUGUCGUAAGAUUGUAAACUCCUGUUAGAGGGGAAGAAUAGUACCGGUUGGACCGGUAUAUGACUGUACCCUCAGAGAAAGCCCCGGCUAGCUACGUGCCAGCAGCCGCGGUAAUACGUAGGGGGCAAGCGUUGUCCGGAUUUACUGGGUGUAAAGGGCGCGCAGGCGGGAUAAAAAGUCAGUGGUGAAAUCCUACAGCUUAACUGUAGAACUGCCUUUGAUACUUUUAUUCUUGAGUUCGGGAGAGAGAGACGGAAUUCCAGGUGUAGUGGUGAAAUACGUAGAUAUCUGGAAGAACACCAGUUGCGAAGGCGGUCUCUUGGUCCGACACUGACGCUGAGGCGCGAAAGCGUGGGGAGCAAACA
rnacentral:rRNA from 1 species